rnacentral:rRNA from 1 species
UACGAAGGGGGCUAGCGUUGCUCGGAAUGACUGGGCGUAAAGGGCGCGUAGGCGGAUGGCACAGUCAGAUGUGAAAUUCCCGGGCUUAACCUGGGGGCUGCAUUUGAUACGUGUGAUCUAGAGUGAGGAAGAGGGUCGUGGAAUUCCCAGUGUAGAGGUGAAAUUCGUAGAUAUUGGGAAGAACACCGGUGGCGAAGGCGGCGACCUGGACAAGUACUGACACUCAACUACGAAAGCGUGGGGAGCAAACAGG